CUUGUGACAUGUAAUUUUUAUCUUUUCUAAUCAUACUUUAAACUUACUUUUUUUUUUUUCCUUUUUAGUUAGGUUAUGGCAUCAGCCUUGGUAUGAGAGGUUUUAUUUGUGUGAGAAGGUAUAUUGACUCUAAAGCCUAGUGUUUUUUUUAUUUUGUCUUUUGAAAUUCAAGAAUAAUUUUUUUUUUCUUGAACCAUAUAGUAUAAUCUUUAGAAGAUAUAUUGGGCAAAGAUUUGAUUGAAAAUCUGUUUAUUACAGCACUCAGGACAGUAAUAGACAACCAAUCUAGGAGAUUUAAAGUUCUUAAAAUAUUUAUUCCUCUGGGGAAUGCUGAGUUAUAUAGAAGGUGUGCUAGAUCAGGCACAACUGCUUCAUGUCUGAAAUGGUCUAGGAAGUUUGUUUUUUUUUUUCCUUCAAAAGCUGACAUUUCAUUAAAAUUAUUUUUAAGUACUUUAUAAGCAGACUACUUUGCUAUUUGAAACUGUAAAGCUUGACAUUUGGGGUGGUUUCAUAAGGGAUAGAAGCAAGCAAGGCACAUGAGAAAUUGUGGGGGUAGGGUGGGGGGUUAAAGUAUGUUGUGGUUUUGAAGAGUUGAUUGCCAGUCUGCCAGAUGAAAACGUAUAAAUGUUUUAUUGUUUCCUUAGAACUCUGCAGAGGGAUGUAAAAUGCACUUGCAAUUGUUAGCAGCGGACACUUCAAAGAGGCCUGGUCUCCCAGGGAAGCAAGCAGAGAGUGGGGAGAUUUAGAAGCUAGCAUCAAGUUUCAAAAUCGUAUUGUGUUUGCAGAAACACAUUCUAGAAACUGUACUCCAUACCGUUAACUGCUGCAUAUAUAAUUUUUUAUUUUUUAGUCACCAGGUAUUCUUACAUUAGAUAAUUAGGUAUCAUGUUUAGGUUUUUGAAAGACAGACAAAAUCUAUUGGGGAGCUGCUUUUUAAUAAACAGCUGGAAAGGGUUUGGUAAGGACUACCCAGGCAGGGCAGUUGAAGCUUAUUGGCUUGUACAUUUUGACUUUCUGGUAUUUGUUCUUGGUGUUGAGUCUUUGAAAUACUCCUGACCAGAGUCUGCUGUGAGCACUCAAAAUUUCCUCCCUCAGCUCCAGAAAGGGUAGGAUUCACCAGCAUUUAUUAACUGUUAUUUCUCAUGCUUUUUCUGCUCAUACCAUAUUUCUUAAUACAUUUUGAAGAGCUCAUCCUUGAUUCACCAGUCUAACAGGAGUAUUGACCGCUACAUUUUAAGCUGGUUUGACAGCAAUGGCUGCUGUUCAUAUUAGUGCAUUUCCUUAGAAAACAGCAGCAAGCUGUUUCAACAUUUAAUUUAUUGUGCUAAUGCACAUCUUCUUGAUACUAAUUCAUGUUUUGGUUAUAUGUAAAUAUACUUUUACUGAUUAAAAUUAUAGUUUGAGAAACUUGUCUAGUGAUAUUUUGGUUAGUUGCAAUUUACAUUUUUCAGAUCUGUAAUUCCAUUUGGACUAGCAGAAACUGAGCCCAAGCACCAUUCCUCGCCCUUCCCCCCCAACUAAACUCGGUUGACUUCUACAUCACUUAAAGAGUUACCUUUUAGUUUUGGCUUUCAGCAUUUGAAUUGCAUGUAUCUUACAUUACAUUUGUAUUAAUUACUUAGUUAAUUACUUAUUAAUUAAUUAGAUGUAUCUAAUACACUUGAAUUCAAAGAUAGCCUAAAUAUAAUUUUAGAUAGAUUUAGCUUAGUAUGGAAAUAGUCAAGAUUUAAUUUAAAAUAUAUCUCAUUCCAAUUAUCCAUCCAUCCAUCCAUCCAUUUUCCAACCCGCUGAAUCCGAACACAGGGUCACGGGGGUCUGCUGGAGCCAAUCCCAGCCAACACAGGGCACAAGGCAGGGAACCAAUCCCGGGCAGGGUGCCAACCCACCGCAGGACACACACAAACACACCCACACACCAAGCACACACUAGGGCCAAUUUAGAAACGCCAAUCCACCUAACCUGCAUGUCUUUGGACUGUGGGAGGAAACCGGAGUGCCCGGAGGAAACCCACGCAGACACGGGGAGAACAUGCAAACUCCACGCAGGGAGGACCCAGGAAGUAAACCCGGGUCCCCAGAUCUCCCAACUGCGAGGCAGCAGCGCUACCCACUGCGCCACCGUGCCGCCCUCAUUCCAAUUAUAGUCUGACAAAAUAGCACACAUCUACCACUCAGAUUUUAUCAAGUAUAAUUUCGGAUAGUUUGAUGACAUCAAUAGAAAAUGUCCCUCCUGUAAGAAUCCUUCAUCUGCUUGUUACUUAAUUUCUUCUAAGGUUAUGCGCUACAUUACAAUUAAGAUAAAACAUCGAAAAAUGCCAAAACCUAGAUUACAGCAUUGCUGUCACAGCGAAGUCAUCUUUGAGCACUUGGUUAAAAUGGAACAUGACAUAGAUGAGGUGUAGUAUACAGUUUAUGUGUGAACCUGAGUAUGCAACAAGAGAGAGCUGCGGACUACAACACCUGAGAUGUCAAAAGCAGCUGACAAAGAAGAGUUUGGAGAGCCAUGUUAUGCAGCUCAGGUCACCAGCACCUCUGCUCCUGUUCUUUUGUCCUGGUGUUCCCAACCACCCCUCCUGGGGAGGAAUCAUGUUAUUUGACCUGUACUAUUAAUAGGAAGUAGACUUUCAUAGAAGAUUUGUGAAAAGUUAUUACAGUUGGAAAAUUUUACUAGCUUGUUGCACUAUUCAUAGUAGCAAAAUUACUAGUUUGACAGGAAAUCUUUGAAUUUACAUCUUAGAUUAAGAAGCAUUCAGUUAGAAUAUGUUCCAAUAUGUUCAACUGGCCUUCUUUAUACAUUUGUUUUAACCUGUCCUUUAAAAAUCAAACUUUUUUUUCUUGAACCUGUUUAACCCAAAAGAAGGGAGGGAAUCAGCGCAUGUCUUGGCAACAUUAUGAAAAAUGUAGAGAGGAUUAAUAUGCAAUUCCUGAAGCUGCAUUUUACUUUCCUCAGGAGGUUCUGCACUUUCGACAGUAGCUUUAAAAUAAAAUUGUGUAUUCAGAAUAUGUUUGGGAGACUUCACAUUAAACAUUAUUUGGCCAAGUUUGUGGUCAUUGCUGCCAUUCAGUUCCACAAAAUAUGUGAUGACUAAUGUAACUAUCAUUUAAUGCUUUUAAAAAUGUGGAAAAAGUAAAUGAAUCCAAUUUAGAGAAAAACGGGUCAAAACAUAUUCCCAGCAGAAAAGCAGUUGUCAUAAUUAGAGUGUGAUUUUUUUUUUUCUAUACCAAUAUUAAAUUCUGCAGUGUCUUGUUUGAUUAUGCCUUCCAAACUACACCUAUAUAGCAGAAGUAAGUGAUCUCUGUGCUACUGUACUUUCUUGUUCCAUCAGUCCUACUUUCAGUUUAGACAAUGUGAAGUAAAUUAACUGGGGAGAAGAAAGUGGUACGCUAUCAUGGCUUUCAUCAAUAAAGUAACAGAUAGCUCUGAAUGUAUGUUACACGUGGCAUUGUAACUUAACUGUGAUUGAUUCAUUAAUGCUUCACAGACUCUGGCCCAUUGAGCACUCAACUAGAGUUGUAUUUUGAAUACGGGGGCAAUCUUCCCUCUCAGUGCCUAUCAAGUAAGGUAUAUGAAUUAAGCCAGUUUUCCUUAACUGUCAUUAACCACUAUGUGGCAGAAAAUUGUCAGACCAGUAAUUAAUUUUGUCUACAUCUUUCUGUGCAUUUUAAGGAUUAGCAGUUUUACAUAUGAGAAAUAUGUAUUUUUAACAAUGUCGCCUUUAUUCAUUAACUGCUAUAACCUGAAAAGGUUUUUUUUUUUUUGUAUUUUCAUACUAUUACAAUGUGUUUCCUUUUUUCUUAUUGUCCCAAGAGAUGAUGGAAGGACAUUUAACAGGUGCCCCUAAACCAAUGACAACACCCCAGCCCACCUUAAUUUUAUUUAUGUUAACUAUUCACAAAUUGACUGAAAGACCUGCUGUCUUGCACAUCUCUCGUUUCAAAUAGGUUGCAGGUCAGACUGAGGUGCUAUUUGAAAUAACAUUUGUUAGCUUUACGUUUUUAUUGCUUUAAUUUUAACUGGGUCAAGACAAACUCUUAAAUGCAGUCAUGAGUGUCAUUCUGUCACUUUAAGAGCGAAUUGAUUUAUAUAGUGUACCUUGUCAUAUCUUCAGAUUCGAUUAUGAUAAGUAUAAAUGUAUGCACAUCUAAAUAAGAAGGCAGAGCAAAAUCCUGUGCCAUGCAUUCUUUGUAGACUCUCCUUUUCUUCCCAACAUGUUUGAGUAUCUUUUUUUUCUGGAAUUUCUAGCAAGAUUUUUUUUUUUUUUUUGAUUGUUCAUUUUAUCCAGGAAAGUUAAAUGAGACCUUCCACUGGGAUUAAAGCAGUUUGGAAAGUCCGUCAUUGUUCCGUGUUAUAAUUUCUGAACAUCAGCUAAAGUUUAUCUUAUCCUGUCUCCUUCCUUCCUAAAUCUUCUGGCAACUGUGAAAGAAGUUUCAUUUGGGAGUGUUUGCUAAAACAUUUCCAUUGGUUUUAUUUAUUUAUUUAUUUUUAACUAAUUAUAAGUUGACCCAAGUUGUUCUUGUUCACAUGUUGACUCAGAAGUCAUAUGAUGAAGCUUUGCUUAUUGAACAAAUCUUUUUGCUGUUUCCAUAUGCAUAUAGUAUGAUAGAUUACUGUCUUAAGGCAGUCAAAAACUGAAAUAGGAUGUUUUCUGCAGGAUGUGUGUGGUUGCUGUUGAGAUUUGACUGUGGAGUAAUGAAUGUGACUUACAAGGAAAUACAUUUCCAACUAGGCUGUGUUAUGGCAGGACCAUAGCUAUGAUAAUUAGUGGGAAAAUAAUGCAGGCAGAGGGGACUAAUAAUUCUGUUGUGCGUAGAAUUGCCUGUCCUAUUUCAAAUGUGCUGCUGCUUUACAUGCACAUGGAGAUAAAGCAGAUUAUGUGUAAACUGUGCAGGUUACAAUAGUGUAGCUUCUCCCUGGAGCUGGCACCCAGUACCAAUACUUGCUGAUUUUGUGUGUGUAUGUAUAAUGUGUAUAUAUACUGUAUAUAAAUAUUGUGCAGUAUCACAUUUACUGCAUAUCAGGGGUUAGGGUUGAUCAUGUGAGUAAAUAAUUUUAUGCAUAAUAUGAAUAUUUUUUUUCUUCUGUCAUUGUUGUUUACUAAUGUAUAAAUUUAAAAACAAGCAACAAUAAAAUCCUCAGUGACCUAUCAA